rnacentral:lncRNA from 1 species
ACGGGUGUUGAUACAGGUGUCAUUUUCAACAUGUGCCACCUAACUCCUGAGCUCAAGCUAAACUCUGUAUAAUCACCCUUGUCAUUGGGAAAAUCUGAAUCCAAUUAUUCCAGUUCAUUUUAAGUCAAAGUUCUCUGUUGAGAGAGUUUCCUGAAAACAAACAUUGGAUUAACAAAAGAGACAAAUGGAAGUUUAUUAAUGCAUGCUGUACCCAUCAUGCAGGAGAGGCCUCAGUUCAAAAGCAUUUCUCUCCCAAGGCAGUGACUUAGGGGACUUGCUUAAAUAGUAUUUCAACAAAGAACCAUCAAUCCGAUAUAGUAGAAAGACAAAGGAGAGAGCAGUUUCAGUCUUUCAAAAGUGACAUGUGAAGAAAGCUGAUCCCAUCCAGAGAACUCAACCACCAUGGAGAAGACAGCUG